CGGAAGCUGAGUUUCCUUCACUCAGCGCGUGUCUUCUGGGGUCUCCUGUGUUCAGCGAAUGAAGCCACGGGCACAAGGACGGACGAGACCCAUCAGGUCCAGAGCGCACCCGUGGAGGAAGCUGGGCGAACCCCGACUGUCCUAUGGAGGAUAGUCCUAUGGACCAGACGAAGCCCCUGCCCCAAGGAGUGCCCGGGUGUAACCGCAAGUUAAGGAGCCCUGGGGAGGUGACACAGGCACCCUCAUUCCUUUUGUUCAGUAGGAGUCUCUGAGGCCUCCCCAGCACCAUGCCGCGUGGGUGAGGCCGAGGACACAGAGAAAUAUCAGGCAAGGCUCCUGCCCCCUUAGGGUGGCCCUGACAACGGAUCAUAACCUCCCAGGGAGCUGAUGGGGUGUGACAGGCACA
rnacentral:lncRNA from 1 species